UACGUAGGGUGCGAGCGUUGUCCGGAAUUAUUGGGCGUAAAGGGCUCUUAGGCGGUUUGUCGCGUCGGGAGUGAAAACCCAGGGCUUAACCCUGGGCUGGCUUUCGAUACGGGCAGACUAGAGGUAUGCAGGGGAGAACGGAAUUCCUGGUGUAGCGGUGAAAUGCGCAGAUAUCAGGAGGAACACCGGUGGCGAAGGCGGUUCUCUGGGCAUUACCUGACGCUGAGGAGCGAAAGUGUGGGGAGCGAACAGG
rnacentral:rRNA from 1 species